ACCUGCGGAAGGAUCAUUAUUGAACAAGUUGGAGGGUUGUAGCUGGCUCUUUGGAGCACUGUGCACACCUUUCAAACUCUUUGCCUUCAAUCACCUGUGCACACUCUGUAGACAUUGGGUUUCCCCCGGGAGGGGGAAGGAGGGAAUAUAUGAUAUGAGGGUCUGCUGGCUCUGUUGGAGUCGGCUUCCCUUUCAUUCCCCCCCAUGUCUAUGUUUUUUUAUAUAAACCCUUUGGAAUGUCAUCAGUAUGUUAUUAAUAGGCUUAGGCCUUGUAAAUUUAAUACAACUUUCAACAACGGAUCUCUUGGCUCUUGCAUCGAUGAAGAACGCAGCGAAAUGCGAUAAGUAAUGUGAAUUGCAGAAUUCAGUGAAUCAUCGAAUCUUUGAACGCACCUUGCGCUCCUUGGUAUUCCGAGGAGCAUGCCUGUUUGAGUGUCAUUAAAUUCUCAACUGCUCUUCACUUUUGUGAAGGGGCAGCUUGGAGUGUGGGGGUUAUGUAGGCUUCAUGUUUUGAAGCCCACUCCUCUUAAAUAGAUCAGUGGGACCUUUAAUGGGCAACUGCUUUGGUGUGAUAACUAUCGACGCCAUGGCUGUGACCAUAAGAUUGGGUCUUGCUUUCAAAUAGUCCCAUGGACACAAAAUCUGUAUAUGAUCAAUUUGACCUCAAAUCAGGUAGGACUACCCGCUGAACUUAAGCAUAUCAAUA
rnacentral:rRNA from 1 species